rnacentral:rRNA from 1 species
GACGAGCGCUGGCGGCGUGCUUAACACAUGCAAGUCGAACGGAAAGGCCCUUCGGGGUACUCGAGUGGCGAACGGGUGAGUAACACGUGGGUGAUCUGCCCUGCACUUUGGGAUAAGCCUGGGAAACUGGGUCUAAUACCGAAUAGGACCACGCGCUUCAUGGGGUGUGGUGGAAAGCUUUUGCGGGGUGGGAUGGGCCCGCGGCCUAUCAGCUUGUUGGUGGGGUAAUGGCCUACCAAGGCGACGACGGGUAGCCGGCCUGAGAGGGUGACCGGCCACACUGGGACUGAGAUACGGCCCAGACUCCUACGGGAGGCAGCAGUGGGGAAUAUUGCACAAUGGGCGCAAGCCUGAUGCAGCGACGCCGCGUGAGGGAUGACGGCCUUCGGGUUGUAAACCUCUUUCACCAGGGACGAAGCGUAAGUGACGGUACCUGGAGAAGAAGCACCGGCCAACUACGUG